UCACCCAUAUCUAAUGCCUCUUCAAUUCUUUGCUUUUGAAAUUCUAAAAAUUCAUACAUACGCUAAAAAGAAAAUCCCAAGACAUUCAAACUAUUUGAGACAAAAACUACUAGUUCUCCUGCUUGAACACAUUUUCUUGAAACCGCAACAAGAGUUAACUGAAGUUGAUGAGCAAAACAAUAAAUAGAAUGAGUCGAUCUACUUUCAAGGUUAAUCAACAUUUUAAUGCCAUUAAGUUCACCUAGCAUAUUGCUUGCUCCAUCAUAGUAUUGGACACGAACAUAUGAUAGACAUAAGAAAUGUUUAGCAAGUAAAUCAACAAUUGUGUUUUUUAAGGAUGAAGCGCAAGUAUCUUUGACAUGAACAAUAUUAAUAAAUCGCUCCACCACAAACCCUAAUACUAUCAACAUAUUGUAAGACAAUGGCCAUUUUCUCCUUUAGUGACACUUCAAAAGAUUCAUGAACUAAUAAGGCAAAGCAGUCAUCAUUUAAUUAUUUAAUGAUAUCUUUGAUUGUUUCCAUCUUACAUGCAAUCACGAUGUCUUUUUGAAUCAUUGGAGAAGUCAUUUGAUUAUUUUGAAGAGCGUAUUCCAACACAUAAUCAUGAAUUUAAUCACAUUCCUUUGAUACCAUGAGAGAAUUUCAAGAAAAUCACCCCUAUUAAAUGAUGUUUUAGAUUCAUUUUGACCGCGAAAUGCAAAUCCUUAUUUCUAAAGAAGUCUCACUACAUUAAUCGAAGCAGUUAAGCGAAUCUUAUAUUCAUGCCUUAACUUGAUUAGAAUGCCUCCCAAAUGCAGUUAUAAUGGAUUGUUGUUGUUGUUGUAAUAGAUAUAUAUAUUUUCUUUUUGCAUGAUUAUGAUUACUAUUUGGCCCAGCAACAUGCUUAUCAAAGCUCUUCUUUUUGUUCCAACUCUUAAACUCUAUGAUAAAAAAUAUAUCAUCUCCACAUUGAUGAAUAUUAUCGUUUUUAAAUAAAUAACAACUCAAACAAUAUGCUACAUUUUUACUUGUACUAUACUUGAACCACUCAUGAUAAUCAUCAAACCGUCUAGGAUUGAAAUGACACAUCACUCCAUAAAAAAUCGUUUGAGGAAAGUUAUGUUCUUAAGGUUGACAAGCACCUCUCUGAAUAUAUUGUCUUCUAAUCUCAUCGCAAAGGUUUGGAUGGUAGUCCAAGAUUUGAGUUCUUUCGGCCGGAUCAGAGUUUAAAGUUUGAAGAUUAAUGGUUGUCUUUAAGAAGAACGCAAUGGUACUUCUGAUUGGUUACCAUUUUCGUUCAAGUUAGACUGAUUAUUAAUGGCCAAAUUUGAUUUGGUACUACAUCUUCUUCCAACUCAGAUUGAUUAUGAGGAGCGUCCAAUCUUGAUUUUGGUACUUUGGCAAAAACUGCUUCAUUAAUUUUUGAUUCUGAGUUAUAAAAUAAAUUUAAUUAAAAAAUUACAAAUAAUAUUUUCUAUAAAAUAUUAUAAUACACAAUUAUAACAAGUGAAACCCAAAAGAUAUAUUCUGUAGUGGAGAAAGAUGGAGAGAAUAUGCAAUGAAAUUCUCUUCCAUCUAAAAUUAAACUUGAAGAAAGUUUGAGCACAAAUUGAUUUGAGAUGGAACUGGUAUACUCUAUGCAAGGAAUUGGAUAGAAAAAGACAUUUUUAACUAUUACACUAGUCUCAUUGCAGAAACCUCUAAGUAGCUGGAUUAAAGUUAAUACAGAUGGGAGUAGUAGUUUAAGAAAUAACAGGUAUAGGAGGCAUUGUAAAGGGAUAAAAAUAGAGACUUAAUUAUGGAUUUUUCUAAAAAGCAUUAUUUCUGUACUAACUAACAAUCAAGCAGAGAUGCAGACUGUAUUCUGUAUAUUGAUAUCUCGAGCAGAGCUCGAAAAAUGAGAACAAAAAAUGCACGGAAAUUGAACAAAAGCCAUAAAUCACAUCUUUUAUGUAUGAAACAAGAGCCCCCGCAAUAAACACGUCUGGUCCAUCCAAAAACAAACUUUGCCAAGCCAUAAACCAGUUUAAAAAACACGAAACCAAUCUAUUAAUCAGAAAAAUAUGCACAGAAACCAGAAAUUGAACCCCGACCAUAAACCAGUCCGAAAAAACAUAGUAAAUUAAACCCCAGCCAUAAACCAGUCCAAAAAACAUAGUAAAGAAACGUACCCUGGCUGCCAUGAUAGCCAAAAAUAGACCAGUGAUUUGCAAUUGCAAAUAGAUCAACGGCGGCGGCACGACGACAACUAGGGACUUGAGCAAUUUUGAGAACGGGAGCAAAGAGACCAGUGAUACGCUAGACAUUCCCUUCUGAGUUUUAACUUUUGAAGUAGGGAUUUCUUUAAUCCCAAUUGCCCUCAAAAAUUCCCUUGAACCGAUGUCGUUUGAAAUUUGUUUAAAAAUAAAAUAAAAAAACUCACAUGUAAAAUAAAAAUUAUACUGCUAUUGAAAAUGGACACGGG
rnacentral:lncRNA from 1 species